rnacentral:rRNA from 1 species
UACGUAGGGUGCGAGCGUUGCCCGGAUUUAUUGGGCGUAAAGAGCGUGUAGGCGGCCAGAUAGGUCCGUUGUGAAAACUCGAGGCUCAACCUCGAGACGCCGAUGGAAACCACUUGGCUAGAGUCCGGAAGAGGAGAGUGGAAUUCCUGGUGUAGCGGUGAAAUGCGCAGAUAUCAGGAAGAACACCCGUGGCUAAGGCGGCUCUCUAGUACGGUACUGACGCUGAGACGCGAAAGCGUGGGGAGCGAACAGG